AAGAAAUUACCUAACAACGUGUUUCUCAGAACAUAUACCCACUGGUAAGUAACAAAUGACUGUUUAUAUAUGUAUGUAUGCAUUAUAUGUAUAUGUACAUAUAUGAAGCAAAAAUUUCAUAAGAUUAUACAUAUCUUUGCUGUAUGUGUGGCACUCUGAUCUUUUCUACUCUUAUUUAGUCUAUUUCAUUAUUUGAAAAAAUACUGGUUACAACUUAAGAAUUUGAUUUCAAGAUCCACUAAUGGAUUGUAAUCCCAUAGCUUGAAAACCUUUUUUUACUUCUGAUAUGAAGUAUCUCUGUAACAGAGCCUUUUGUUUCAUUGUAUUACCACAAAUAGCAUCUAUAUAAGUUUAAAAUUUGCAAGGUUCUUGGCAAUCACCUUAUUAGGCAUUCGUUUCCGCAGUCUGUAAGAUAACUAUUUUUGGACACAAACUAAAGUAAUCAACAAUCUAAGACUUCAAGUUCCAACUUAAGGCAAAACUUAAGUCACCUGCCCUUAGAUGGUAGUGACAUUAACGAGACAAUUGUGUUUGACCAUUUAGCUUAUUCUAGUAGAUGGGGUUGUUGUCUAAAGGGCAACAGGGGGCCUCAUACAAGGCUGGCUUCUUGGGGGUAUAACCUGUGCAGGUCACAUGAGGCUUUGCCCUCAGAAGGGCCCUGUGUUUGGUUUAAUGCUCUGUCGUCAUGUCUUCAAUUCUUAAUAAUUUUAUUUUAGUACUUGUGUUUCGUAAGAGAAGUUUAUGGGAUAAUAGAGCGUGUGCAUGAGCAGAGAAGAUAUGAGCAGUAUGUGAGUCCACCGUUCCUUACCAUCCCCUUUGCAUACAGCCUCUGUGAUGUCCCACCCACAUAAAUUCCACGGGAUUCACAAUGCAUUGGAGCUCAGGAAGACUCAAAGCAAGUGCAAGACCUCUGGCUGAUUGCUCUGUGCCUGGUUCUGGAGCUGCUUCCCAGGACAUUCGGAGUGGACAAAGGGAAGACUAUCAAACCACAACAGAGCAAAAUCAGAAGUUAAUGUUCCACAGACCUACAGUUGUGUUAUCAGCCAUGACAAUGCAAUAGGAGAAAAGAGUAGAAGGAAGGAUAGUCAUUUUUUCCUAAGGAAACUGGGCAUGCAAUGAAAGAUGCAUAAGAAACGUCCAGACAAGAUAUGCCAAAGAAAUAUGACACAUCACCAACAGGGGAACACCAAUUUGAGUGGCAACAGACUCCUCAACUGAAACCAAGGAGUAAAAGAAGUGGACAAUAUUUUUCAAGUGCUGAGAGAAAAGAACUGGCAACUAUUCAGUCUAUAUCCUGUGAAACUAUCUUUUGAAAAUUAAGAGGAAAUAAAGACAUUCUCAGACAAAGUAAAACUAAAUAUUUAUCACUAGCAGAUCUACCCUUAAAGAAUGGCUGACAGAAGUUCUUCAAACAGAAAUUAGGUGAUAAAGAAGGAAUUUUGGAUCAUGAGGAAGAAAUAAAGAACAACAGAAAGAGCAUCUAUUUGUGUAUAUAAUAAACUAUCCCUAUUCUCCUGUGUUACAAAAAUCAUGUUUGAUGACUGAAAAAAUUUUAUAAUACUUUCUGAUACUCAAGACAAUGACAUAAAAGUGAGGAGGGUAAAGGGAUUUCAAUGAAAGAUUUCUAUACUUGACUCUAAGUGGUAUAAUGUUGACACCAGUAGACUGUGAUAAUUCGCAGAGCAACCAGUAAGAAAACUAUGCAAGGACAUACACUCAAAAACACAAUAAGCAAAUCAAGAUGGAAUCCUAAAAAAAUGUUUAAGUAACCCACAGGAAGACAAAAAUAAGAGAAACAGGGACAAGAACAAGGAGAAAAAGGCAGAAAACAAAUAAAAUGCAGAUUUAAGUUCAAACAUAUCAGUAAUUACCUUAACUAUAAAUGAUCUAAAUUUCCAAAUUAUAAGGGAGAGAUUGGCAGACAAGAUAAGAAAUCAGGACUCAAAUAUCUACUGUUUUUAAGAAGCUCACUUCAAAUUAAUUGAUGUAGUAAGUUAAAUGUAAAAGGAUGGAAAAAGAUGUAUCAUGCAUAUAUUAAUUUAAAAAAACA